UGGCGAAAGCAGGUUUCCUCCAUCAGUAUAUGUGUGGUCCUUAAACAUAUGUCUGACACCAUAUAACUAAAAAUAAAAUGUGUUGAGUGCGUCGUUAAAUAAAACAUUUCCUUCCUUCCUUUUAAGGUGAGGUCUCUACUAAUUGUACUCCAUACGUUUUACAGGGUGGGAUGUAGCCUAGUGGUAAAGCGUUGGCCUAAUGUGCAUUCUGUCCAGGACUGAUCCAGCCAGUGCACCACGACUGGUUUUUCAAAUGCUAUGUAAUGUACUAUCCGGUUGAUGGAAUUGUGCAUAUAAAAGAUCCCUUGAUAUAAUGGAAAAAUAUAGUGGGUUAGUUCUCUGUCAAAAUUACCAAAUGUGUGACAUCCAGUAGCUGAUGAUUAAUAAAUCAGUGCCAGCGGCGGAUCCAGAAAAUCCAUUAUGGGGGGGCCUCAGUGACAUAAGGUGGAAUGCCAAAGGAACUUUGGAGGAGGAUUGUAAAAAAACAAAAAAUUAAUAUAUAAUAAAAUUAUAACUACGGGGAGAGACGUAGCCCAGUGGUAAAGCGUCCGCCAGAUGUGCAGAGAAUGUGGUGGGGUGAUAAUGUAACUUGCUUUUUUCUCAUUAAUCCCUUGUGAACACAGAUGAUUCAUUUGGUAGUAGAGUCACAACCCAGCAGUUACAGAUGUCGUCAUGUUAGUGCAUCAGGUUUGGUUUCUUACUCGUAACUGUUUGUAUAGUAAUUAGUAUCCAUAUUUUCCAAAAUUCUUUUUACUUGGCAUUUUAAAUUCAAAUUCAAAAUAGAUUAUUUGUUUUAGGGUUGACCACCCCGUAACAAUGAGUGGGACAUUAAAUGUAUAUAACAUAAAACAACCAACAUGAAAAAUCAGAUUAUCAAUAUGUACACAUAUGUCCAUGUGUUUAUUACUGAUAGGUAUUUUCCUCCUACAGAUCAACAUUUUUCAAUGCAUCAAAUAGGGUCAAAACCAAUGUUAAGUGCUGAAGUUUGUUUAUUACUUGGUAUUUAGGAACUCAUUACAGUAAAGAUUCUACAGUGUCAGUACUCUGCAUUUCUUUCUUGACGAUCGCAUUAUUUUUAGUCUGGAAUUUUAAGGAAUACUAAAUUAUUUUAAUUUAAAUUUGGAAUCUUGCUAUUUUAACAAUAUUUAACAAUUUUCACUGAAUGUGGCAAAUGUCCAUAUAGUAAUGGAAUAUUAAAGGGACAGACCCUAGUUUUUAAACACUAAGGCAUAGUUUUCACUAUUAGAGCCUUUUAUGAUCACUGAAAUCAAACAUUACUUAUAUUUUAUUCUUUAGACAAUCCAUUUUCGUACAACCAAAGUGUUUCUUGUCAUCCUUGUGUUUCUAAUUUCCACAAAAUGCAUUUUUCAUAUUGUUAAAAAAACGCAUGUGUGUCUUAGAAGUAGCAUUUAUGGAGUUGCAUUGUAGUCUUAUUUUUAAGGGCAAUUCAACAUCACAGACUCGUUUCACUUUUGUUUCACUCUGUUGUAUCCAAAUUUGUUAAAUGUUUGUAAAUUAACCAAACUUAGUGUCCAUUUUUGCGGCUUGAAACCAGAGUUUAGGUGGAAAAUAUGCCUUAGUGUUUAAAAACUAAAAGUUACUAUCCCCAUACGUUUAAGCCAAUUCCAUAUUCAGUACAGUUAUUGUAUUUUUGGGGCUUCCCGGUAUAUGUACAUGUAUAUAUAAUAAAUGUAUACUUGUAUAUAUAUUUUUUUUCCACAACAGGUUGGUUUCCACUCGAGUUCCCGUCUAAAUCCCACAUUUUAUGAUGUGAUGGAGAGCUGUUUGGAUUCAGCUGUUCCUGAAGGUCUUCGAGGAUGAAGAAGUACAAUGUUCAGAAGUCUGAAGUAAAGGCUGCACUGUUACCAUGUUGUCAACACUGGGGUAUUUCCUGUUCAGACCAAUGUUAGACCUGUGUGUGAAGGACAGUGGAGUGUGCUGACCUGUACAUGUUAGACAUCAUCUCCUUGCUGCUAACUGAUAAUGGACAUAGGCAGCCACAUUUGUACUUAUAAAACACCUUUUUUCUGAUGAGUGGCAACAAAGGAACGAGAUAAAAGGCUGUAGCCAGAUUGAAGAUGUGGGUUUCUUCUCUAACUGACGCUACAAUUUCAGACAAUUUUCAAACUUUGAAAUACAUGGAGCUCAUGCGAAAUAAAUCUGUCUUGCAUGGGCUAUGAUGUCAUUGAAUUUAACAUGGGGAGUAUUACGGCAUUGGCAAUACAUCACGUCAUAUCAAUGCAAGUUGGUUAGUUUUGGAUCAAUAUUUUGUGAACUUAUUAAAACCUUCAUUAU